AACGUAGGAGACGAGCGUUAUCCGGAUUUACUGGGCGUAAAGCGUGUGCAGGCGGUUCGAAAAGUCAACUGUGAAAGCCCAGGGCCUAACCCUGGAAGUGCAGCUGAUACUGUUGAAUUUGAGUUCCGGAGAGGAAGGCAGAAUUCCCGGUGUAGCGGUGAAAUGCGUAGAUAUCGGGAGGAAUACCAGUGGCGAAGGCGGCCUUCUGGACGGAUACUGACGCUGAGGCGCGAAAGCUAGGGGAGCAAACGGG
rnacentral:rRNA from 1 species